GCUGGGCAUGGUAGAGUGUGCCUGUAAUCCUAGCUACUCAGGAGGCUGAGGUGGGGGGAUUGCUUGAGUCCAGGAGUUCAAAGCUUCAGUGAGCUAUGAUGAUGCCAUUGCACUCUAGCCUGGACCACAGAGUAAGACCCUGACUCUA
rnacentral:SRP_RNA from 2 species